rnacentral:rRNA from 1 species
GACGAACGCUGGCGGCGUGCUUAACACAUGCAAGUCGAACGGAAAGGCCCUGCUUUUGUGGGGUGCUCGAGUGGCGAACGGGUGAGUAACACGUGAGUAACCUGCCCUUGACUUUGGGAUAACUUCAGGAAACUGGGGCUAAUACCGGAUAGGAGCUCCUGCUGCAUGGUGGGGGUUGGAAAGUUUCGGCGGUUGGGGAUGGACUCGCGGCUUAUCAGCUUGUUGGUGGGGUAGUGGCUUACCAAGGCUUUGACGGGUAGCCGGCCUGAGAGGGUGACCGGCCACAUUGGGACUGGGAUACGGCCCAGACUCAUACGGGAGGCAGCGGUGGAGAAUAUUGCACAAUGGGCGGAAGCCUGAUGCAGCAACGCCGCGUGCGGGAUGACGGCCUUCGGGUUGUAAACCGCUUUCGCCUGUGACGAAGCGUGAGUGACGGUAAUGGGUAAAGAAGCGCCGGCUAACUACGU